CCCGCUGAACUUAAGCAUAUCAAUAAGCGGAGGAAAAGAAACUAACAAGGAUUCCCCUAGUAACUGCGAGUGAAGCGGGAAGAGCUCAAAUUUAAAAUCUGGCAUGCCUCUGGCUGUCCGAGUUGUAGUCUGGAGAAGUGUUUUCCGUGUUGGACCGUGUAUAAGUCUCUUGGAACAGGGCGUCAUAGAGGGUGAGAAUCCCGUCUUUGACACGGACUACCAAUGCUUUGUGAUGCACUCUCAAAGAGUCGAGUUGUUUGGGAAUGCAGCUCAAAAUGGGUGGUAAAUUCCAUCUAAAGCUAAAUAUAGGCGAGAGACCGAUAGCGAACAAGUACCGUGAGGGAAAGAUGAAAAGCACUUUGGAAAGAGAGUUAAACAGUACGUGAAAUUGCUGAAAGGGAAACGCUUGAAGUCAGUCGUGUCUGCCAGGACUCAGCCUUGCUUUUGCUUGGUGUACUUUCUGGUCGGAUGGGCCAACAUCAAUUUUGACCGUUGGAGAAAGGCCUUGGGAAUGUGGCACCUUCGGGUGUGUUAUAGCCCUUGGUUGUAUACAUCGAUUGGGAUUGAGGAGCUCAGCACGCCGCAAGGCCGGGUUUUUAACCACGUACGUGCUUAGGAUGCUGGCAUAAUGGCUUUAAUCGACCCGUCUUGAAACACGG
rnacentral:rRNA from 1 species